ensembl:snRNA U6 U6 spliceosomal RNA
GUGCUUGCUUUGGCAGCACAUAUACCAACACUGGAAUGAUACAGAGAAGAUUAGCAUGGCCCCUGCACAAGGAUGACACGAAAAUUUGUGAGGUAAAUUUGAGAGGUUGUUUUU